UACAGAGGUCCCGAGCGUUGUUCGGAUUCACUGGGCGUAAAGGGUGCGUAGGUGGUUAGGUAAGUCCGAUGUGAAAUCUCCAGGCUCAACCUGGAAAUGGCAUUGGAUACUAUUUAGCUUGAGGAGUGGAGGGGGGACUGGAAUUCUCGGUGUAGCAGUGAAAUGCGUAGAUAUCGAGAGGAACACCAGUGGCGAAGGCGAGUCCCUGGACACUUACUGACACUGAGGCACGAAAGCUAGGGGAGCAAACAGG
rnacentral:rRNA from 1 species